GGUCAAGUUAUUAAGGGUGCAGGGCGGAUGCCUUGGCACUAGGAGCCGAUGAAGGACGUGAUAAGCUGCGAUAAGCUUCGGGGAGUUGCACGUAAACUUUGAUCCGAAGAUUUCCGAAUGAGGAAACUCACUUAGAGUAAUGUCUAAGUAUCAUUAAGUGAAUACAUAGCUUAAUGAGGGGAACUCAGGGAACUGAAACAUCUAAGUACCUGAAGGAAGAGAAAGAAAUUCGAUUCCGUAAGUAGCGGCGAGCGAACG
rnacentral:rRNA from 1 species